GGACGAACGCUGGCGGCGUGCUUAACACAUGCAAGUCGAACGGAAAGGCUCCAGCUUGCUGGAGUACUCGAGUGGCGAACGGGUGAGUAACACGUGGGUAAUCUGCCCUGCACUCUGGGAUAAGCCUGGGAAACUGGGUCUAAUACUGGAUAUGACCUUUCUCCUUAUGGGGUUUGGUGGAAAGUUUUUCGGUGUAGGAUGAGCCCGCGGCCUAUCAGCUUGUUGGUGGGGUGAUGGCCUACCAAGGCGACGACGGGUAGCCGGCCUGAGAGGGUGAUCGGCCACAUUGGGACUGAGAUACGGCCCAGACUCCUACGGGAGGCAGCAGUGGGGAAUAUUGCACAAUGGGCGGAAGCCUGAUGCAGCGACGCCGCGUGAGGGAUGACGGCCUUCGGGUUGUAAACCUCUUUCAGCAGGGACGAAGCGUAAGUGACGGUACCUGCAGAAGAAGCACCGGCUAACUAUGUG
rnacentral:rRNA from 1 species